CUGUUUGCUACGCUUGAGAAAUUUGGCUUUGGUAGUAAUUUUACAAAUUUGGAACGUAUGCUUUAUGCACGGCCAAGAUCAUCGGUACUGACAAAUUUUAAUAGAUCACAUCCAUUUCUAGUUCACCGGGGGACUAGGCAGGGUUGCUGUUUAUCUCCACUGCUCUUUGCUUUAGCUAUGGAGCCUCUGGCUAUUGCAGUUAGAAGCAGCUCUGAUAUUCUGGUUAUAUCCUGUGGUCCUGUCAAAUCUACUAUACCUCUAUAUGCAGAUGAUGUGGCUCUAACACUGUCUGAUGCCAGGCUCUCUUUGCCUUCAUCUCAUUAACAAAUUUGGAAAACUCUCUGGUUUCACAAUUAAUUGGGACAAGUCCAUGUUUAUGCCACUGGCAGAUGGGCUCGACUUUCUCAAUCAUAUUAACGGGGAUUCAACAUAAAAUUUAACCCAUUUGACUGCACUUUGUGUUUGUGUCUGCACUUCUGCCGGACCCUGAUUCCUUCCUGGUCUUGUUCCCCCCAUCUUUUGGACUUGGGGAACUCUCUGUUGCCCUGUCUGACCUCACACAAAAGAUCAUCUUCUUUGGACACUGGUGUUUCUUUUGAACUUUUGAUUUGUACUGGCUAACUGGUGUAUUUUUUCUUUUCUUUCCUGGGUCUUUUUUUGUGUGUUUGGUUUUUGUUUUCUUUUUUUCUGUGCUUAAAUGUUAUUAUUUUUGAAUCUUAUGUCCUUUGUCUGGUGUGAUGUUAUGUAACAUUGAACUUAAAAUGUUAUAAAUAAACAUUUAAAAAAAAAAAGAUCAGAAAAGUUCAAAUGUCAAAAAAGGUUAGAAUAAAGAGUGUCUACUUUCUUUAUUAUUCUACAAACUUAGCAAACAUUAACACAUUUAGUAUUUUCAGACUCUUUGGAACAUCUACAUCAAUAUAUUCUUAAACACAGAAAGAACUGACUGUAAGUGCUCAAGCUAAAUGAUUUUUAAGGAAGUUUUUGUCAGUCUAAUUUUGAGCUGCCCGCAGUACAAAAGAACUUCAAUUCCAAUUUACUGCACCACUCAGGUAGCACCUGCUGGAGCAAAACACAAGCAGAGAGG
ensembl:lncRNA